GCGAAGCCUGAUCCAGCCAUGCCGCGUGUGUGAAGAAGGCUUUCGGGUUGUAAAGCACUUUCAGCGAGGAAGAAAGCCUCUGGGUUAAUACCCCAGAGGAAGGACAUCACUCGCAGAAGAAGCACCGGCUAACUCCGUGCCAGCAGCCGCGGUAAUACGGAGGGUGCGAGCGUUAAUCGGAAUUACUGGGCGUAAAGCGCGCGUAGGUGGCUUGGCACGCCGGUUGUGAAAGCCCCGGGCUCAACCUGGGAACGGCAUCCGGAACGGCCAGGCUAGAGUGCAGGAGAGGAAGGUAGAAUUCCCGGUGUAGCGGUGAAAUGCGUAGAGAUCGGGAGGAAUACCAGUGGCGAAGGCGGCCUUCUGGCCUGACACUGACACUGAGGUGCGAAAGCGUGGGUAGCAAACAGGAUUAGAUACCCUGGUAGUCCACGCCGUAAACGAUGUCGACUAGCCGUUGGGACCUUUAAGGACUUAGUGGCGCAGUUAACGCGAUAAGUCGACCGCCUGGGGAGUACGGCCGCAAGGUUAAAACUCAAAUGAAUUGACGGGGGCCCGCACAAGCGGUGGAGCAUGUGGUUUAAUUCGAUGCAACGCGAAGAACCUUACCUACCCUUGACAUCCAGAGAACUUUCCAGAGAUGGAUUGGUGCCUUCGGGAACUCUGAGACAGGUGCUGCAUGGCUGUCGUCAGCUCGUGUUGUGAAAUGUUGGGUUAAGUCCCGUAACGAGCGCAACCCUUGUCCUUAUUUGCCAGCGAUUCGGUCGGGAACUCUAAGGAGACUGCCGGUGACAAACCGGAGGAAGGUGGGGACGACGUCAAGUCAUCAUGGCCCUUACGGGUAGGGCUACACACGUGCUACAAUGGCCC
rnacentral:rRNA from 1 species